rnacentral:rRNA from 1 species
GACGAACGCUGGCGGCGUGCUUAACACAUGCAAGUCGAACGGAAAGGCCCUGCUUUUGUGGGGUGCUCGAGUGGCGAACGGGUGAGUAACACGUGAGUAACCUGCCCUUGACUUUGGGAUAACUUCAGGAAACUGGGGCUAAUACCGGAUAGGAGCUCCUGCUGCAUGGUGGGGGUUGGAAAGUUUCGGCGGUUGGGGAUGGACUCGCGGCUUAUCAGCUUGUUGGUGGGGUAGUGGCUUACCAAGGCUUUGACGGGUAGCCGGCCUGAGAGGGUGACCGGGACUAUUGGGGACUGAGAGAGGGACCAACGUCCCGGGGGAGGAAGGAGGGGGGAAUGUUGCACAAGGGGCGGAGUCUGCAUGGCACACCGCCGGGGGGGGGAUGGGGGCAUGGGGGUUAUAACCUGCUUGCUCGUGAGACGAGGGGUGAGAGACGAAAAGGGGAAAGAAAGCCCCGGCAAACCGCUUC